rnacentral:lncRNA from 1 species
ACCAUUUGUACUGAUUUAUUGAUUGUCAAUUUGAACAACAAUCAACACACAUAAUACGGCAAUAGGCCAGAGACAACUUAAAGCAUCACAUUCAAAAUCUUUGGUAAACAUAAUGAAUAUUCAUAAUCACUAAUAAAUGUAAAUUAUCAAAGUCAUGAAUAUUCAUAAACACUAAAUAUGACUGUACAUAUUAUUUCUGUGUAAAAUAUCUAUCCUAUAUAAUUAAUAUGUAAUUUAAAAUAUAUAUUUGCAGAACUCCUGCAUCAAGCAUUUGAAUAUUUUUUUUAUCAACUGGUCAUCUUUGUUUAAAUUAAUGAGAUCUGCAUGUAAGAAAACUCUCAAUAGAUAAAGAAGUUGAAUUAUUCAUAUUUUUGGGAAAUUUUCCAUUUCUUGUUUUCCCAACAGGUAAAUUUUUUGACCCUAUGAAAUCACAAAAAACUUGCCUUGAAAAUGUAAAGCAAAUGCCUAUUUCAGAAUGAUAUAAUUGCAAUAAGUCUACAAGAGUUACAAUACAUAGGCUUUGUAUGUGCAAUUUUGAGCACAUUGAGAUUCAAAAAUAACCUUCAAUGGCACUGUAUAUCAAUCAGGUUAAAAACUUUUAAUUUGUAAGAAUGGGUUUCUUUUGGGAACAAUUAAAGAAAACAAGAUUUUGUUAGCUUUGCAGAUCUGACCAGUUGAUAAAAAAAAAUAAAAAAUUAUGGUAAAACAAAUUCUGCUGUAAAACAUAUAGUGAAACCUGUCUCAACUGAACCAUUAACAGGAAAUGUUUUGCAAUGUUUGCAGAAACCUAAAAAAAAAUCUGUUGCAACAAAGUACAAGAAAGGUUUCACUAUAUGACAUGAAUUAUAAUCUAUUAUCUAUUCUACUAAAUGGCACACCAAUAAACACCGACAGGGAAAUCUGAUUAAAAUCUAUGACGAUUGGAUAAAAGUUAAAAUUCAAAAACACAAUUUGUUACAAAUUAAAGCUUAUUAAAAAAGAUCUCUGGUUUUUGUCUUAGCUGCUUGAAAAUAAUGCUAAACACUGUAAUGUGAAACAAAUAACUGGAGGGAACUCCAAUUCGUGAGACUUUUUAUGUUGAUGAUAAAAAUAUCAACUUAUGUUUACAGAAUAUCUGAUUAACUUAAAGUAUUGUUCUACAGCCUAAACAACAUUAAAAACCAAUAACAAUGUAUAAAGUUAUAAAGUCAUUCUGUCCUUCUAUGCUACAAAUCUCAUUUUUACAAAAAUAACGUUUAUUUCAAAAUAGGACCAGGAAUACUCCUGGAGGUUUCAAUUAAAAGAUCCAAUAAUUUCAAUAAAAUAUAAUCCUGAAAUUGUCAGGGUUUUACCAUGAUUUUCCACAUCAAAAUUUUAAGAAGGAAAGAACUGAAUGUCUUUAUGAAGAAGUUGCUGUUACAUAAAAUAAUACAAUAACUUAACAAAACAAGUAUAAGGUAUACUCUAAUUAAUAGGAACAUCAUGUUUUGUUUUCUUAUUGAAGAGGGUUGUCACAUGCAUUGAACAACAUAAAUAAAAGGAGGAUCCUGUGAAAAUAUCAAACAAGUCAGGUUUUUUGUAUGAAACAUGGUGAAUAAUAAAAAUGAAAAAAUGCAACAUAAAUUUUUUACCUAAAUGUAAUUUGUAAACAUGUUGCACAAAAAUAAUACUUUACAAAGAUCCAAAAAUAUCUCACUUGUACCAAAUUCUAGAUUUCAUCAGGAAUUUCAUUGAAUUUAAGGAAUUUAUGGAAUAAAUCUAGAUAAAGAAUUUACAUCUUACUGGGAGAUAACUCUUAUCAAAUUUAAAAAUAAGAAACUCAGACAACUCUCGACCAGAGACAAAAUGACACAGUAGUGUAAAACAACUAAAGGUUAAUCUUUAUAUCUACGUCUAUAUGGAAGAUGAAUCUUUUGAAUGUUUAUUUACAUCUGAAUUGAUGAUACAUAUUGUUGGAUAUUUUUUUCAAAUCUAUAUGGGAAAUAACUCUUAGUGAUUGUUUAACUACAUCAAUAAGGGAGAUAAGUCUUAUUAAAUGUUUAUUUACACCAAUAAGGGAGAUAACUCUUGAUGAUGUGUAUUUACAUUUAUAUGGGAGAUGCAUUUUUUGAAUGUGUAUUUACAAUUAUAUCAGAAAUAAAUCUUUUGAAUGUGUAUUUACAUCUAUGCGGGAGAUACAUAAAUCAUUUUGAAUACCUAUCUACACCAAUAUGGGUGAUAAUCCUUACUUGAUAUUUUUUAGUAUCAAGUUGGUUACAAAGACAUUUAUUUUCUCUCAAAAAAACAAAACAUGAUGUUCAUAAUUUUAAAAUCUAACACAAUACUUUAACAAAAUAAUGCUGUAAUUUAAUUACAUAAUUAAUACUUAUACAAAC